UCAGAUGUCGAUGAAUGUGACCUGAACGUCGACGACUGUCAUGCUCAAGCCACGUGCGCAAACACCCAAGGAUCAUACACAUGCAUGUGUAACACAGGUUGGACUGGGAAUGGAACUAAUUGCGUUGGUAAGUAAAAUAAUUUUCUUUCGCAUAAAAUCAGCACUAUCUCUCUUUUUGAUGGAAAAAUAACCCACUAGUUUCUUACGAACAGUGCAUUUGUCGUUAACAAACACCUUUUUCCAUAUUCUCAUGUCGCAAAAAAGUAAAAUAUUAUGAGUUGUGGAUUCAAUUCUUGUAUUUUUAGUAGGACACGUAAAAUGUGCAGAAGAACAAAAAUAUAAAUAAAAAAUGUAUGCUCCUUUUCUUCCCAAUUUUUGGGCAACAGGUCUACUUUAUUCAAGAUCAACUUUUUCUGCAGGAAGAAACUGGAGGGCCAGGAGAAAACCCAUGACUUUCGACAGAGCGUUGAUACACUGUUUUGGGUGAAGGGAGUGAAAGUGAAAGGCAUUUGCUCCGAGGACUCACUGAAGGCCUCGUACAACCUUUCUAUAUUUUGACACAUUACACUUCACCGUUCGUUUCCCCUUUGCACCUCAUUUGAAAUACAGACUGAGCUAUCAUUGCAGUUUCAUCACGCUAGUAACCUUUAACUUUGACAGUGCACGAGAGUUGGCAGUCAUGUGACAUUGGUUAGCUGUUGUUGACACUUCGGAAAAACUGUCAUGUAUUUUUUUAAAUUUAAUACCCUGUAACAAUUCGUGACUUCCAAUUCUUAUCACCCCUCAUUCGAGUUCAAUGGGGCGUACAAAAGGUUAAAUUAAGUUCGUUCUCUAAUAUAAGUCAAUCAUUAAUACUACAGGUUUAAAUUUUGACACAUAUCUACUAUCUUUAUCUUCAGAUGUCGAUGAAUGUGACCUGAACCUUGACGACUGUGAUUGUCAAGCCACGUGCGCAAACACCCAAGGAUCAUACACAUGCAUGUGUAACACAGGUUGGACUGGAAAUGGAACUAAUUGCGUUGGUAAGUAAAAUAAUUUUCUUUCGCAUAAAAUCAGCACUGUCUCUCUUUUUGAU
rnacentral:lncRNA from 1 species